rnacentral:rRNA from 1 species
UACGGGGGGGGCAAGCGUUGUUCGGAAUUACUGGGCGUAAAGGGCUCGUAGGUGGCCAACUAAGUCAGACGUGAAAUCCCUCGGCUUAACCGGGGAACUGCGUCUGAUACUGGAUGGCUUGAGUGUGGGAGAGGGUCGCGGAAUUCCAGGUGUAGCGGUGAAAUGCGUAGAUAUCUGGAGGAACACCGGUGGCGAAGGCGGCGUCCUGGGACAACACUGACACUGAGGAGCGAAAGCCAGGGGAGCAAACGGG